rnacentral:rRNA from 1 species
GACGAACGCUGGCGGCGUGCCUAAUACAUGCAAGUAGAACGCUGAAGGAGGAGCUUGCUUCUCCGGAUGAGUUGCGAACGGGUGAGUAACGCGUAGGUAACCUGCCUGGUAGCGGGGGAUAACUAUUGGAAACGAUAGCUAAUACCGCAUAACAGUAGAUGUUGCAUGACAUUUGCUUAAAAGGUGCAAUUGCAUCACUACCAGAUGGACCUGCGUUGUAUUAGCUAGUUGGUGAGCUAACGGAUCACCAAGGCGACGAUACAUAGCCGACCUGAGAGGGGGCUCGGCCCCCCUGGGACUGGGGCACGGCCCAGACUCCUGCGGGAGGCAGCCGUAGGGAAUCUUCGGCAAUGGCCGGAAGUCUGACCGAGCAACGCCGCGUGAGUGAAGAAGGUUUUCGGAUCGUAAGGCUCUGUUGUAAGAGAAGAACGAGUGUGAGAGUGGAAAGUUCACACUGUGACGGUAUCUUACCAGAAAGCGACGGCUAACUACGUG